AUUGAACGCUGGCGGCAGGCUUAACACAUGUAAGUCGAGCGGAUGAAGGGAGCUUGCUCCUGGAUUCAGCGGCGGACGGGUGAGUAAUGCUUAGGAAUCUGCCUAUUAGUGGGGGACAACAGUUGGAAACGACUGCUAAUACCGCAUACGCCCUACGGGGGAAAGGAGGGGAUCUUCGGACCUUGCGCUAAUAGAUGAGCCUAAGUCAGAUUAGCUAGUUGGUGGGGUAAAGGCCUACCAAGGCGACGAUCUGUAGCGGGUCGGAGAGGAUGAUCCGCCACACUGGGACUGAGACACGGCCCGGACUCCGACGGGGGGCAGCAGUGGGGAAUAUUGGACAAUGGGCGAAAGCCUGAUCCAGCCAUGCCGCGUGUGUGAAGAAGGCCUUUUGGUUGUAAAGCACUUUAAGCGAGGAGGAGGCUACUUGGAUUAAUACUCUAGGAUAGUGGACGUUACUCGCAGAAUAAACACCGGCUAACUCUGUGCCAGCAGCCGCCGUAAAAC
rnacentral:rRNA from 1 species